UACGUAGGGGGCAAGCGUUGUCCGGAUUUAUUGGGCGUAAAGAGCGUGUAGGCGGCCAUACAGGUCCGUUGUGAAAACUGGAGGCUUAACCUCCAGACGUCGAUGGAAACCGUAUGGCUAGAGUCCGGAAGAGGAGAGUGGAAUUCCUGGUGUAGCGGUGAAAUGCGCAGAUAUCAGGACGAACACCCGUGGCGAAGGCGGCUCUCUGGGACGGUACUGACGCUGAGACGCGAAAGCGUGGGGAGCGAACAGG
rnacentral:rRNA from 1 species